GGACAAAUGAUUAGGGUGAAGUCGUAACAAGGUAGCCGUAGGAGAACCUGCGGCUGGAUCACCUCCUUUCUAAGGAA
rnacentral:rRNA from 1 species